rnacentral:lncRNA from 1 species
CGAUCAGGGCAUGAUUCAACCCUUAGUUACCACUCUCCCCAGCACUCUGACGUCUACACCAUUUGAGAUCUGGCCAUCGAAAUACGAUUUCAGGUGCUCAAUAAGUGGAUCGAUGCAAUGAACAACUCCUCCCCUACGCAAUCCUAUGAGGGAUUUAGCAGUGAACCAUCCUUCGCCCCUUCCUCGGCACUUUAAGAUGUCCCAAUUUAAGGCCUACGACGGGACCGCCGAUCCCAUCGAUCAUCUAG